GCGCCCGUCGCCAAGCGGAUAAGGCACAAGUUUCCUAAACUUGCACGCGCAGGUUCGAUUCCUGCCGGGCGCGCCA
rnacentral:tRNA from 1 species